rnacentral:rRNA from 1 species
GCGAACGCUGGCGGCAGGCUUAACACAUGCAAGUCGAGCGGGCGUAGCAAUACGUCAGCGGCAGACGGGUGAGUAACGCGUGGGCACGUCCCUUUUGGUUCGGUACAACACAGGGAAACUUGUGAUAAUACCGGAUACGCCCUUACGGGGAAAGAUUUAUCGCCGAAAGAUCGGCCCGCGUCUGAUUAGCUAGUUGGUGAGGUAAUGGCUCACCAAGGCGACGAUCAGUAGCUGGUCUGAGAGGAUGAUCAGCCACAUUGGGACUGAGACACGGCCCAAACUCCUACGGGAGGCAGCAGUGGGGAAUAUUGGACAAUGGGCGCAAGCCUGAUCCAGCCAUGCCGCGUGAGUGAUGAAGGCCCUAGGAUUGUAAAGCUCUUUUGUGCGGGAAGAUAAUGACGGUACCGCAAGGAUAAGCCCCGGCUAACUUCGU